rnacentral:lncRNA from 1 species
CAAGGGGGCGACAGGCCAGAGGGAGGAGGGCCCGGAAGAGGCCUGGGAAUGCAGACGCCAGAGGCCACCCGGGCCGGAGCUUCGAGGGGCCAGUGCAGCUGUCUGGGUGGCCGUGGGACCCGGACUGUGGAGGGGCCUGCGGCCAGGAGCAGAUCUGGAGGUGAACUGCGGCCGCCACACCAAGAACGUGGAGUUUUCUGCCUCUGUGGACAAAGGGGGGGUCAUAAAGGAUUUGAGAAGGGCCCCACCUGAUGUCCUUUUACAAAGCCCUGGCCACGGCAUGGGGAGAAAUCAGUGCACAGAAAGUUACGAAUCUUUAGAGGAAGUCAGGAUCUGCAAGACUGUGCUGCCCUUCAAAAGGCUUAUUUCCGCUUUUUAGGGAGAAGAGAAGAAAAUGAACAAGUUUAAAGGAAAACAAAAUAAACAACUCCUGUUUUUAACUGAAUAUUCGGCAGAAAUGAGAAUCUGAGGAGUAAACUGGUGAAUGGCACUAAGUUUAAAGGUUUGCUUCUAAAGUGAACAGGGGAGGAUAAUUAAUUACUCAAACGGCCCUUUAAAUAAUUAGUAACACCUGCCGGGAGCAGCUGAAGCAUCGCGUGGACGUGAGCGCUUGGUGCGCCCGGCUGUCCUCCAUCGCUAACUCCUUCACACAAAACCCGGGGAAUAAAAAUGCCAGCUGGUCUUGUCCUUUCACUGAAAGUGGCUGUGUAUUCUCUGUUCUUUCAUCUUUUUUGCUCCUCUCUAAUCUCUCGUUAGGUCCUUGCUGUAGUUUCAAAUGCGCUUCGGAGACGGGGCGAGGGGACCGUCGAGUCACGCGGGUCCCACUGAGCAGAGGACCCGCAGCGUUGCCGCCAGCUACCAGGAACGCGUCCCCAGCCGUGGAGCUCGUGGUGGCUGAUCAGAACUUCCUCUCUGACACAGAUGCCCAAUCAUUAGGACAAAAUGAGGCUUUUUACCUUCUAUGCUGUCAAAGCUGGAAAAAUUUCCUCUAUUACAAUUUAUUCUAUUAUACAUCUUUAGAAGACAGAAGCUCAGGACUGAUUUUACACCUGGAAGCAGAGAAAACUGCCUGUGACUGUGGCUGGGUCUCGUUCUGACUGUAAUUUUGACCAACAACCUGCGAUCUUGUGUCAGUUCUUCAUCUGAAAGAAAAAAGAAGCGCAGGGGUCACUUGCUUUUCCAGGAGAGUCGUCGAGUGGAAGACGCCAGGAGCAGCAGCACUGGUGGAUCUGCGCACAGCAGGGUCCAUCCUCACCGUCUGUGGCUCUGUUGUCACCACUAGACGUAAGCUUGAUGGUCUGAUUUUUCUGGCAGCCAAGUUCAAAGCAGUUUAGAAACUUUGAGUCAAGUUUACUGGCAACCAUAAAAAAUGAGAGGAGCAGACAUUAAAUUAGUAAAAAAGAUAGAGGAACUGAAAAAACAGUGUCUCUUGGGUGUGGCUGCACAUAAGCAAACAAUAGUGUCCAGUGUUCGUGGAGUCACGGCCGGAUGACGGAGAGAACGUGUGUGUGGGGCACGUUCAGGACACUGAGCAGGGAGAGCGUUUUCCACGAAAGGUGGCCCAAGUGUGGCUCCAGCAGGGGUGACAUUAUGCCUGUGGAGCCACCUGCUCGGAGCCAAGGCCCAGCCAGUGUGGCAGAGCAGGCCUGUGGCAGGAACGUGAAGAAGGAAGGCUGCACCAGGACUCCGAGGGACCCGCAGGGGCGGAGAGCUGAGAUGGCUGGUAGCUGAGGCCCUGGGGUCACAGGGCUGGUGGCAUGCAAGGGGCGUUUGAAAUCUUUAUUAGAGUUUUAAAAAUGUAUUUGUAUUUCACUUUCACAUUGGCAUCAAAAUGCAUGUGUGGAGAUGUUUUAUCAGGUCUGUGCAUUUCUAUCAGAAAAAUUUAGAAGUUGGCUAUAGGACUUUCUGAACUGCUGUGUCCGGGGCCUGGGCAGCCUGUGCCCUGCGUUGUCACUGCACCGUGGACCCACCCACCUCACUGCAUGCAUGCCAGGUCCACGUUCUGUUGUGUCCUUGGUUAAAGAAGGCUGGAGUGAUUAUCUUAAUUUCUAGGGGGAAAAAGCCAGCUCACACAGUGCAGAGGGUCCCUUACUUGGUCAUUUUGGUUGGGGACCCGUUGCCCCACUCCAAGUCCCCUGCCAACUCAAGGCCCAGGUGAGCCCUGCCCUAGGCGGCCAGUGGCUCACAUCCGUGUGAGGCUCCUGGGUCCCGAGUGCAUCUGACAGGUGGACACUGAUGGCCCUCGAAACAGGGAUCCAGGUAUUUGAGACAUUUGACAACUUAAUUGGACUUAGUAUCAUUACCUAGAAAGAUGGUCAAACAGGCCGUUUCUGAACCAUAAACUGGCAGAUGACAUGGCAGGAAGGACCCCCGGACUCCAUGCACCACCAUCCCUCCCUCGGUCCUGGGGGUUCCACCAUCAGCACUUGGACUUCUGGCCAAGGCUUGGUCACGGUUUUUACACACACUCAUGGGGGGCUUCACACUGGAGACUGAGGGGGCGUGAGCAGAGAAAACUGGGAGGAUGAGCCACGGACAUCGAGGGGGAUCAGGGGUGGAGGUUCUGAGGGUAAAUCUGUCAACUGCAGAAUUUUGCUGUGUCUUCACACUCAACUGAGCCCGGUUUUGUGAUAGCCAGUUUUGUGUGCUAAAAUGCAAGAAUUCCAAUGUGGGUCCUUUACAUUUUUCUUCUAUUUCUCUAUUUUUUGCUAAAGUUUGUAAAUAAUUACUUUAUAAACAAAAAUAAAAGUUACCCUUGAAGUUUUUAAUGCAACAAUAUACCUGUAGAAAUACAUUUUCUUCAGUUUAACUUUUUCCUGUGGUUUCUACUUAUUUCAGUUUAAUAAAUAUACAUUUAAUAUAUGUAUUAAAUAGUAUAAAUGUUUAUAAAUAUU